rnacentral:rRNA from 1 species
AGAUUGAACGCUGGCGGCAUGCCUAACACAUGCAAGUCGAACGGGAGUAGCAAUACUCUAGUGGCGGACGGGUGAGGAAUACGUAGGAAUUUGCCCUUAAGUGGGGGAUAACCCGGGGAAACCCGGAUUAAUACCGCAUGACCUCGAAAGAGCAAAGUGGGGGAUCGCAAGACCUCACGCUUUUGGAGAAGCCUACGUCGGAUUAGCUAGUUGGUGAGUAAUGCUCACCAAGCGACGAUCCGUAACUGGUCUGAGAGGAUGAUCAGUCACGACCGGAACUGAGACACGGUCCGGACUCCGUACGGGAGGCGAGCGAGGUGGGAAUAGUGACAGUGGGCGCGAAGCCUGACUCCAGCAAUCGCCGCGUGUGUGAAGUAGGCUUAGGUUAGUAAGUCUAACGUUUAAGGUAGGAAAG